UCCAGUUCGUUCGUCGUAGGGACGCGCCCGCGCGGGCGCGCGUUCACGACAAGUCAACCGCCACCUUAUUCACUCCCCUCUUGGCACUAUCAUUUCGGUUCCAUUUUUCGCGGUCAUCCUCACAAAGAGGGAGAGACGAGCUGCUCGUUGAUGGGUUUUCUCCGUCGCCGCACCAAGCCUCCCGAUGGACAUAUCGAGCAGCCGCCGCAGCUCGUCGGCCACCAUGGAGCUUUGAUCUGGUGCUUCCCGCCACCGUCCGUCGCCGGGAACGCCGCGCCCGACCAGCUAUCCUCUAGAUCAGCACCCCGUUCUAGCGGCAGACGUCGGUCGCCGUCUUCCCCAACCGCUGCGCCGCUCACUGCCGCACCCAGUGUGCGAGCUUCAGCGGCAACGACUCCUCGUGUGGUCCGCGCAUCACCGAUUCGGCCUGGUGAGAUGUUGCUUGUACCACAUAUUCUUUCAGAGUGACUGAGCCACCCGAUUUUUCUGGUUAUGUACAUGUACUGGAUUUUGUCUAAUUGAGGUUCUAUUUGACACAA